rnacentral:lncRNA from 1 species
GGUCUGUCGCGAGCAACCCUACACCAUGCACCAGCGCCACUGCUCCCAGCAGGAGUGGGUUUUGCAGCGGUGGCGGCAGCCCCGCGCCCAGGCCGAGCAGAGUCAGGGCUGCCAGCGCCGUAAGCAGCAAGGGGAAGGGCAGGUUGUAGAGCACCAGGCCCCCGCGAACGCCCAGCCGCGCCUGCGAGCCGUAAGGGUCGUGUGGUUGGCAAGUCAUUUAACUUUUCCAAACAAAUCUGCAAAAUGGAGAUAACAGCACCUGCCUCAUUGCGUUGUGAAGAAGAUGAAAUGUUUAGCCCGGUGCCCAACACCCAGUUCUCACUCUGUCAUCCAGGCUGGUGUGCAGUGGUGCAAUGUGGGCUUACUGCAGCCUUGACCUCCAGGACAAGUGAUCUCCCACCUCAGCCUCCGGAAUAGCUGGGACUACAGAGUCUUCUUUCUCCAGGACAAACACUCCGAGUUUUUCAGCUGUUCCUUGCAGGACAGGAUUCUGGGUUCUCACCAUGUGGAAUCUCUUCUCUGUUUGCUUCUUACCAGCUCAACAACGCCCCUCUGAAAGUAGGACUCUUGGAAAUGAACCUUGUUGGGAGUAAAGCUGAACCUUCACCUCUCCUUUCCAGGAUUCUACUCCAUUCAUACGGCCUCACACUGAAUUAAUGUUUCUAGCAGCCACAUUACUUUGUUACCCAAUUGAUCUAGUAGUAAAGUCUUCCCAUCUCU